rnacentral:rRNA from 1 species
CCUACGGGCGGCAGCAGUGGGGAAUAUUGGGCAAUGGAGGAAACUCUGACCCAGCAACGCCGCGUGAAUGAUGAAGGUCUUCGGAUUGUAAAGUUCUUUUCUAAGGGAAGAAGAAAGUGACGGUACCUUAGGAAUAAGCCUCGGCUAACUACGUGCCAGCAGCCGCGGUAAUACGUAGGAGGCGAGCGUUAUCCGGAAUGACUGGGCGUAAAGGGUGCGUAGGUGGUUUGGCAAGUUAGUUGCGUAACUCCAAGGCUCAACCUUUAAACUACUAUUAAAACUGUUGGACUUGAGUGCUGGAGAGGCAACCGGAAUUCCGAGUGUAGCGGUGGAAUGCGUAGAUAUAAGGAGGAACACCAGUGGCGAAGGCGGGUUGCUAGACAGUAACUGACGCUGAGGCGCGAAAGCGUGGGGAGCAAACAGGAUUAGAUACCCGGGUAGUC